ensembl:lncRNA
CUAUUUCUACGUGCCUGAAGCUGGGUAUUGGACUGGGGUUCUGAUCAAGACUAUAUAAUGGUGUGGUCUUAUUCAGACAGGUUGAUUUAUCACUUAGCAGACUUGGGUUCAAAUGCUUUUCAAAAUACUUGAAACACUUUCAGCGUUUGCUUUUGCCUGCCCGGGGUGCCAGAUGAACAGGGUUGGGUCGUUUGUGACAGUUUCAUAUUCUAUUGGAUCCAUUGCGCCAGGCAAGCUCAAUCAAGCCCAGAAAGAGGAUAUGAAAGGAUUUGAACCCAGAGCUGCUACGUGAUAAAUCAGCCUAUCUGAAUAAGAUCUCACUGUUGUAUGGACUUGAGCAGAAACCCAGUAUCCAGCUUCAGGCACGUAGAAAUAGACAGUACUAGAAAGUAAUAGAUUUUUAUUUUUUAUUUAUUUUUACUAGGCAAGUCAGUUAAGAACAAAUUCUUAUUUUCAAUGACGGCCUAGGAACAAACAGUGUUGAUCCUGGUUAUGAUGUCCUGCUGAGGACAGAACUAGUUGUGGCACAGUGUUGAUCCUGGUUGUGAUGUCCUGCUGAGGACAGAACUAGUUGUGGCACAGUGAAUGGGGGUGGAUGGAGGAAUGGGGGUGGAUGGAGGAGUGGGGGUGGAUGGAGGAGUGGAUGGGGACGUUAACUGCCUUGUUCAGGGGCAGAACGACCUUGUCAGCUC